UAUGUGAUCGUCUCUCGCAUAUCAAUAAGCGGAGGAAAAGAAACUAACAAGGAUUCCCCUAGUAACGGCGAGUGAAGCGGGAAGAGCUCAAAUUUGAAAUCUUAAAGGGUUUCCCUUUACGAAUUGUAGUUUAAAGAAGUGUUUUCUGUUGAGGUUUUGGUAAAAGUUCUUUGGAAUAGGACAUCAUAGAGGGUGAGAAUCCCGUAUUUGACCUUUACUUUCAACUUUGUGAUACACUUUCAAAGAGUCGGAUUGUUUGGGAAUGCAGUCCAAAAUGGGUGGUAAAUUUCAUCUAAAGCUAAAUAUUGGCGAGAGACCGAUAGCGAACAAGUACCGUGAGGGAAAGAUGAAAAGAACUUUGAAAAGAGAGUUAAACAGUACGUGAAAUUGUCAAAAGGGAAGCGUUUGACACCAGUGUUGUUUUUCUGAAAAUCAAUUAAAGAACUGUUUAUGCUAAGUUGUUUAGACUUUAUCAGCUAACUGUUUAGUUUUGAGCUUUUCUUUAAUGCACUUUUCAGUUAACAAGUCAACAUCAAUUUCUUUUGCUGUAAAAAAGCUCGAGGAAGGUGGCUUGAGAUUCGUCUUAAGUGUUUAUAGCCUCUUGCCUAUGCAGUCGGAGAGAUUGAGGUCUGCAGCGUAGAUCCUUCGGGGCUAAAUGCAUUUGUGCUAAGUUAUAGCAUUUUAUAGACAACUUGUUGACUAUGAUUAGUCUUGUAGCUUACUCGCUUAUGUUAUUUUACCUACGCUUAGGAUGUUGAUCUACAGAGCGAGAGU
rnacentral:rRNA from 1 species